rnacentral:rRNA from 1 species
CUACGUGCCAGCAGCCGCGGUAAUACGGAAGGUCCAGGCGUUAUCCGGAUUUAUUGGGUUUAAAGGGAGUGUAGGCGGUUUGUUAAGCGUGUUGUGAAAUUUAGAUGCUCAACAUUUAACUUGCAGCGCGAACUGUCAGACUUGAGUACACGCAACGUAUGCGGAAUUCAUGGUGUAGCGGUGAAAUGCUUAGAUAUCAUGAAGAACUCCGAUUGCGAAGGCAGCAUACAGGAGUGUAACUGACGCUUAAGCUCGAAGGUGCGGGUAUCGAACAGGAUUAGAUACCCUGGUAGUCCGCACAGUAAACGAUGGAUGCCCGCUGUUGAUACCUAGUAUCAGCGGCUAAGCGAAAGCAUUAAGCAUCCCACCUGGGGAGUACGCCGGCAACGGUGAAACUCAAAGGAAUUGACGGGGGCCCGCACAAGCGGAGGAACAUGUGGUUUAAUUCGAUGAUACGCGAGGAACCUUACCCGGGCUUGAA